rnacentral:rRNA from 1 species
ACCGCCUGCCCAGUGACUUUUACAGUUCAACGGCCGCGGUAUCCUGACCGUGCAAAGGUAGCAUAAUCACUUGUUCUUUAAAUAAGGACUAGUAUGAACGGCUUGACGAGGAUUUAACUGUCUCUUGCUUAUAGUCUGUGAAAUUGACCUUCUCGUGAAGAGGCGAGAAUAAAAAAAUAAGACGAGAAGACCCUAUGGAGCUUAAAUUUAUUAACCCAUUAUUAACUGACUAAAUCUAAUAGAGAUAAAAUAUAAACCAUGGGUUAACAAUUUUGGUUGGGGUGACCUCGGAGUAAAACCUAACCUCCGAAUGAUUUUAACCUAGACCCUACAAGUCAAAGUUUCUAUUCAUACAUUGACCCAGAAUUAAUCUGAUCAACGGACCAAGUUACCCUAGGGAUAACAGCGCAAUCCUAUUCAAGAGUUCAUAUCGACAAUAGGGUUUACGACCUCGAUGUUGGAUCAGGACCCCCAAAUGGUGCAACCGCUAUUAAAGGUUC